rnacentral:rRNA from 1 species
GAUGAACGCUGGCGGCGUGCUUAACACAUGCAAGUCGAACGAGAAGUGGAGACGGACACCUUCGGGCGGAAGACUUUAUUUCGAGUGGCGGACGGGUGAGUAACGCGUGGGUAACCUGCCUCAUACAGGGGGAUAACAGUUGGAAACGACUGUUAAUACCGCAUAAGACCACAGCACCGCAUGGUGCGGGGGUAAAAACUCCGGUGGUAUGAGAUGGACCCGCGUUCGAUUAGCCAGUUGGCGGGGUAACGGCCCACCAAAGCGACGAUCGAUAGCCGAUCUGAGAGGAUGACCGGCCACAUUGGGACUGAGACACGGCCCAAACUCCUACGGGAGGCAGCAGUGGGGAAUAUUGCACAAUGGGGGAAACCCUGAUGCAGCGACGACGCGUGAGUGAAGAAGUAUUUCGGUAUGUAAAGCUCUAUCAGCAGGGAAGAAAAUGACGGUACCUGAGUAAGAAGCCCCGGCUAACUACGUG